AGAGUUUGAUCAUGGCUCAGAUUGAACGCUGGCGGCAGGCCUAACACAUGCAAGUCGAGCGGAUGACGGGAGCUUGCUCCUUGAUUCAGCGGCGGACGGGUGAGUAAUGCCUAGGAAUCUGCCUGGUAGUGGGGGACAACGUUUCGAAAGGAACGCUAAUACCGCAUACGUCCUACGGGAGAAAGCAGGGGACCUUCGGGCCUUGCGCUAUCAGAUGAGCCUAGGUCGGAUUAGCUUGUUGGUGAGGUAAUGGCUCUCCAAGGCGACGCUCCGUAACUGGUGUGAGAGGAUGAUCAGUCCCUCGGGAACCGAGACACGGUCCAGACUCUUACGGGAGACUGCAAGGCCGUCUUUUUCCAGAGAUACAUCUCUGUCCCGGACUCCUCGAUCCACCUAUCUCGUCGUGUGUUCAAUGUACAACAAGAGUAUGGCCAUCGAUUACCGGAUUCAUC
rnacentral:rRNA from 1 species